GGUGUCUUCGGACGCCGGCAUACGGCUCAGUAACACGUAGGUAACCUACCCUCAGGACUGAGAUAACCCCGGGAAACUGGGGCUAAUAUUAGAUAGAUAAAAGAUACUGGAAUGUUCUUUUAUCCAAAGCCUUUGCGCCUGAGGAUGGGCCUGCGUCCGAUUAGGUUGUUGGUGGGGUAAUGGCCCACCAAGCCUGCGAUCGGUACGGGCAGUGGGAGCUGAAGCCCGGAGUUGGGGACUGAGACAAGGCCCCAGGCCCUACGGGGCGCAGCAGGCGCGAAACCUCUGCAAUGCGGGAAACCGUGACAGGGGGAUCCCAAGUGCUCAUGCAUUGCAUGGGCUGUUCUUUGGUCUAAGUAACCAGAGGAGUAAGGGCUGGGCAAGACCGGUGCCAGCCGCCGCGGUAAUACCGGCAGCUCAAGUGGUAGCCGCGAUUAUUGGGCCUAAAACGUUCGUAGCCGGAUAAGUAAGUCUUUGGUUAAAUCCUGCGACUCAACCGUGGGAAUUCUAGAGAUACUGCUUGUCUUGAGACCGGGAGAGGUUGGAGGUACUCCUAGGGUAGGGGUGAAAUCCUGUAAUCCUAGGGGGACCACCUGUGGCGAA
rnacentral:rRNA from 1 species